rnacentral:rRNA from 1 species
UGAGUACGAGCUGCUACGGCAGCGAAGUGGGUGAUGUCAAGCUUCCAAGAAAAGCCCUAUACCCGUUAAGGCAUGACGGCCUGUACCCGAAACCGACACAGGUGGGGUGGUAGAGAAUACCGAGGGGCGCGAGGUAACUCUCUCUAAGGAACUCGGCAAAAUGGCCCCGUAACUUCGGGAGAAGGGGUGCCACCGCAAGGUGGUCGCAGUGAAGAGGCCCAGGCGACUGUUUACCAAAAACACAGGUCUCCGCUAAGUCGCAAGACGAUGUAUGGGGGCUGACGCCUGCCCAGUGCCGGAAGGUUAAGGAAGCUGGUCAGCGCAAGCGAAGCUAGCGACUGAAGCCCCGGUGAACGGCGGCCGUAACUAUAACGGUCCUAAGGUAGCGAAAUUCCUUGUCGGGUAAGUUCCGACCCGCACGAAAGGCGUAACGAUCUGGGCGCUGUCUCGGAGAGAGGCUCGGCGAAAUAGAAUUGUCUGUGAAGAUGCGGACUACGUGCACCCGGACAGAAAGACCCUAUGAAGCUUUACUGUAGCUUGGUAUUGUGCCCGGGCUCUGAAUGCGCAGGAUAGGUGGGAGGCUUUGAUCCAUUGCUUGUGGGUAAUGGUGAGCCACUGGUGAGAUACCACUCUUUCAGAGCUAGGGUUCUAACGGUCACCCGUUAUCCGGGGACCGGACAGUAUCAGGUGGGCAGUUUGACUGGGGCGGUCGCCUCCUAAAAGGUAACGGAGGCGCGCAAAGGUUCCCUCAGGCUGGUUGGAAAUCAGCCGACGAGUGUAAAGGCAGAAGGGAGCUUGACUGUGAGACCUACAAGUCGAACAGGGACGAAAGUCGGCCUUAGUGAUCCGACGGUUCUGAGUGGAAGGGCCGUCGCUCAACGGAUAAAAGUUACUCUAAGGAUAACAGGCUGAUCUCCCCCAAGAGUUCACAUCGACGGGGAGGUUUGGCACCUCGAUGUCGGCUCAUCGCAACCUGGGGCUGAAGUCGGUCCCAAGGGUUGGGCUGUUCGCCCAUUAAAGCGGUACGCGAGCUGGGUUCAGAACGUCGUGAGACGGUUCGGUCCAUAUCCGGUGCACGCGCAGGAACAUUGAGAGGAUUUCUCCCUAGUACGAGAGGACCGGGAGGAACGCACCUCUGGUGUACCAGUUAUCGUGCCAACGGUAAACGCUGGGUAGCCAUGUGCGGAGCGGAUAACCGCUGAAAGCAUCUAAGUGGGAAGCCCACCUCAAGAUGAGUGUUCCCAUGGCAUAAGCCAGUAAGGUCACGGGAAGAACACCCGUUGAUAGGCUCUACGUGGAAGCGUGGCAACACGUGAAGCGGAGGAGUACUAAUAGACCGAGGGCUUGACC